AGUGAACGCUGGCGGUAGGCCUAACACAUGCCAGUCGAACGGCAGCACAGGAGAGCUUGCUCUCUAGGUGGCGAGUGGCGGACGGGUGAGGAAUACAUCGGAAUCUGCCCAGUCGUGGGGGAUAACGUAGGGAAACUUACGCUAAUACCGCAUACGACCUUCGGGUGAAAGAGGGGGAUCGCAAGACCUCUCGCGAUUGGAUGAGCCGAUGUCGGAUUAGCUAGUUAGCGGGGUAAUGGCCCACCAAGGCGACGAUCCGUAGCUGGUCUGAGAGGAUGAUCAGCCACACUGGAACUGAGACACGGUCCAGACUCCUACGGGAGGCAGCAGUGGGGAAUAUUGGACAAUGGGCGCAAGCCUGAUCCAGCCAUACCGCGUGGGUGAAGAAGGCCUUCGGGUUGUAAGGCCCUUUUGUUGGGAAAGAAAUCUUUCAGGCUAAUACCCUGGGAGGAUGACGGUACCCAAAGAAUAAGCACCGGCUAACUUCGUG
rnacentral:rRNA from 1 species